CUCUCUUUCAUACUUUUCACAGGGAGGAGAUUGAGAUGAGAGUCGGUGUCUUCGCUUGAUGCCGGUUCGUGUACGGCGGUCAGCUUCCCUUCCGUCAGGAUCGUCUCCGACAUCCGUUUGCCUUUCAAGGGAUGGAUUGUGCGGCUUUUGACUCUGGGGCUCAUCCUUUCUCAGGAUGUGGUCGCCGGCUUUUGACUCUGGCGAUCCACCUUCCCCUCCGGUGGUUUCGGCCGGCUUUGCUCCGGAUCGACAGCGUUAAUAUGGUUUGGUGAUUUUGGGAGGUUCUGUUUCUUGGAGCUUCCUUCACCCUCUUGGUUUCCGGUGGUUUAAGAGCUUCCGGCGAAGAUCUAUUCUGUCGGUGUUGUGCUAAGUUCCUCUCGUCGUUAGUGGUGUCUCUAAUUCCGGGUUCCUGUUUCCGGUGUGUUUCCGGUGGAACAUGCCGAUUAGAGCCUCCGUUGAUGACUUUCCGGCCGGCGAAGUUCUGUGGCGGCUUGACCAGCGGGUUCGUGUCCCUCCCACGCUUAGGUUCCAACGCGUGGAUGAGGUCGAGCUGAUCCAUCUCCUUCCCUUCGGGCCUUUGGUGACCGGGCUUUGUUUGGGCCUCGUGGUCCUUAAGUUUGCCCAUUCUUGGGCCUUGUUUUGUUGUUGGUCUAUGGCCUUUCUUUUGGAUUUCUGUUGUAAAUUUGACUUUGUUUAAUAUUAUUCCAGUGGCAAAAAAAAAAAAAAA